rnacentral:rRNA from 1 species
UAAUACGUAGGAGGCUAGCGUUAUCCGGAUUUACUGGGCGUAAAGAGAGUGUAGGCGGUUCUUCAAGUCGGAUGUGAAAUCUCCCGGCUUAACUGGGAGGAGCCAUUCGAUACUGUUGGGCUAGAGGGCAGCAGAGGGAGGUGGAAUUCCCGGUGUAGUGGUGAAAUGCGUAGAUAUCGGGAGGAACACCAGUGGCGAAGGCGGCCUCCUGGGCUGUUUCUGACGCUGAGACUCGUAAGCGUGGGGAGCAAACAGGAUUAGAUACCCUGGUAGUCCACGCCGUAAACAAUGGACACUAGGUAUGGGGAGUAUCGACCCUCUCCGUGCCGAAGUUAACGCUUUAAGUGUCCCGCCUGGGGACUACGGCCGCAAGGCUA